rnacentral:rRNA from 1 species
UGUUAUCAUAAUGAUAACUGGGGUUAGACAGCCAAGGUGAUCACAGCUAUACUUUUUUUUUAUUUUUUUCUGCUUGCUUUCC